ensembl:lncRNA
UUAUUACCAGCGCCAGGGAGGAAGUUUCUACCAGCGGGGAUUAUGCGCAGUUUCCUUGCCCAGAAGCUUUUGGGCUUUGUCCCCUCCCACUCUUGAAAAGCAGCGAUUCCACAAACUAGAGGUGGUGGGAAGGGAGGGGGGUGGGGGGUUAGUAAAAAAAAAAAAAAAAAAAAAAGCGGGGCAAACUUAAACCUGCUCCUUUUGCUAUGCCUUUUUCUCCCUCCUCGCUUUUUACGGAGCUAGAAGAAGGAGCACGUUUCGGCCGCGUUUUUGUACACCGGGCGGCACAGAAGUGCAUUGUGUUGGGACCGGAGCAGGGAGGGAGGAGGAGGAGGGUGCUGGAGGAGCACAGCUGCACGGCGCACAAGAGCCGGCAUCUCAGCCUGACAGGCAGGCGAGCAGCAAGAGGGAGAGAGCGAAACGAGGGCUCUUCCGCCGCACUCUUUGAGGGGGUUCCUCUCCGUCCAGCGUUCGCCCCCACCAACCCGACAAACUCACCAUUCCCCCACGUUACAGCAGCUCCGUCCGGGAUUUUUAUUUAUUUAUUUAAUUGUUUUCAAAUCAAAGCACUGAAAUGUGGAAUGGACGCGGACAAGAGAAAGGAUUCUGUUCUCCUCUUCUGUGGCUGGCUACUCAAAUUCAGUACAUGGGUGGAGCAGCAUCUGUUAAUGCAGUCCAGGAUUGCUGACAUCAAGCCAGGACAAAAGACAGUGGCGCUGGUGGCUGCCUUCGCUGAGGACUUUAUGAGCUGGUGACGCUUAAGCGUUGUUUGAUGAACUGCAGUGGUUCUGUCACGUGGCACUGCGCUGUGUGAGGAAGAAAGUUACAGAACGCUGUUCCCACAUGCCUUCUGCUAUAAUUCCAAUAUUUACCUUAUAUAUGCAUAUAAAAAUACCACUGUUUGAAGAGCCCUGUACAUUGAAAGCCCUUUUUUGUUUUAUUUUAGUCACUUAUGUUGUGCCUUCUGGUGUAUGGAUGCUGCAUCUACUUUUCUCUACAUGGAUUAAUAAACGUUAACGCACUUUGUGCUUAUUUUAAGCAACACCUCUUGUUCCACCCUGCAAUAUCCUGACAAUGC